UCCUGGUUAGCUCAGUUGCUAGAGCACUCCACUGGAAUUGGAGAGGUACCUGGUUCGAUACCAGGACCAGGCG
rnacentral:tRNA from 1 species